UAGGAUGUUUAGUUAAACACAGACAGCUU
rnacentral:piRNA from 1 species